CAAGAGGUGGGGCUAGAAGUGGGGCUAGAGAUGUGGCUAGAGGUGGGGCAACAGAUGGGCUAGAGGUGGGGCUAGACAUGUGGCUAGAGGUGGGGCUACAGAUGGGCUACAGGUCGGGCUAGAUAUGGUGCUGGAUAUGGGGCUUAAGCUGGGGCUAGAGGUUGGGCUAGAGAUGGGCUAGAGGGGGACUAGUGGUGGGGCUAGUAGUGGGCUAGAGGUCGGGCUAGAUAUGGUGCUGGAUAUGGGGCUUAAGCUGGGGCUAGAGGUGGGGCUAGAGAAGGGCUAGAGGUGGGGCUGAAGAUAGAUAUGGGGCUAGAGAUGGGGCUAGAGGUGGGGCUAGAUAUGGGCUAGAGGUGGGGCUAGAGCUGGGGCUAGAUAUGGGGCCAGAUGUGGGGCUAGAGAUGGGGCUAGAGUGGGGCUAGAGAUGGGGCUAGAGGUGGGGCUAGAGAUGGGGCUAGAAUUGUGGCUAGAGGUGGGGCUAGAGGUGGGGCUAGAGGUGAUACCCUCUUUUCUUCCCUCUCUCCCAUCUGCUCCCCUUCUGUCUACCUCUCUCUGUGUAGUUUGUCCCUCUCUUCUCUGACCUCUCUACCACAUCCAGCAGGGCUACUGGGACAAAACAGAGUAACCAUGGUCACCUAAUCCCCUC
ensembl:lncRNA